GUACGGGAGGCAGCAGUGGGGAAUUGUUCGCAAUGGGCGCAAGCCUGACGACGCAACGCCGCGUGGAGGACGAAGAUCUUCGGAUCGUAAACUCCUGUCGAGCGGGACGAACGGCCUCCGACCUAAUACGUCGGGGGAGUGACGGUACCGCGAGAGGAAGCCCCGGCUAACUCCGUGCCAGCAGCCGCGGUAAUACGGGGGGGGCUAGCGUUGUUCGGAAUUACUGGGCGUAAAGGGCUCGUAGGCGGCCUUCUUAGUCGGACGUGAAAUCCCUCGGCUCAACCGGGGAACUGCGUCCGAUACUGGGAGGCUCGAAUCCGGGAGAGGGAUGCGGAAUUCCAGGUGUAGCGGUGAAAUGCGUAGAUAUCUGGAGGAACACCGGUGGCGAAGGCGGCAUCCUGGACCGGUAUUGACGCUGAGGAGCGAAAGCCAGGGGAGCAAACGGGAUUAGAUACCCCGGUAGG
rnacentral:rRNA from 1 species